GAAUUUAAAUGACGGGGUUGUAGCUGGCUCUUUGCAGCAUGUGCACGCCUUUGUUCAAUUCAUCCACAUACCUCUGUGCACUUUUCAUAGGUUGGCUCGUCAUAAAGGACCGUCUUUAAUGACCGUUUCGAGAGCCUCCCUGUGUAUUUUACCACAAACAUUAUAAAAAGUCUAUGAAUGUACACUUUGCUAUAAACGCAUUUAAAUACAACUUUCAGCAACGGAUCUCUUGGCUCU
rnacentral:misc_RNA from 1 species